rnacentral:rRNA from 1 species
CACGUAGGGCGCAAGCGUUGUCCGGAAUUAUUGGGCGUAAAGAGCUCGUAGGCGGCUUGUUGCGUCGGCUGUGAAAACCCCGCGGCUUAACCGUGGGCUUGCAGCCGAUACGGGCAGGCUAGAGUUCGGUAGGGGAGACUGGAAUUCCUGGUGUAGCGGUGAAAUGCGCAGAUAUCAGGAGGAACACCGGUGGCGAAGGCGGGUCUCUGGACCGAUACUGACGCUGAGGAGCGAAAGCGUGGGGAGCGAACAGG